GGACAGCUGCUCAACCACUUUGACAGGUGGCUUCACUCAAAAUUUAGUUAGUAGCUAGAAGAGGAAGAGAGCUGAGUGAAACAGACAAAAGAGAGUGCGAGAAGAGAAGAGGGAAGAACCUUGUAGCCUUGUCGUAUAGAAUACAGUUUUUUAUUCUUUGCCAUGGACGCAGAGUGAUUAGAGAGCAGAGGAAACCCAAAGAGAGAAGUGUUGACCUUGAAUCCACCAACCAUCCAAACUGAUGGAACUGCCAAUUAGGAUCUCUUGAAUGAAGCUUAUGAUCAUUGUGGUGAAGUCUUUGCUGAGUGUGCCAGACUAUUUAAUUGGGUACUUUUUCUUUUCUUAUUUUUUUAUGUUUGAGUCAUUUUUUUUCUUUCUUUUUUAUUCUAAUCGUCUAUACAUAAACAGUGGAUAAGGCUUUGAUCAUUAUUAUGUUUAUUAAAAUUUUCCAAUUGGUAUAAUUAUAUCUCUGUCCAUUUUUGUUUAUAUAGAUGAACGCAUAUAAAUUAAUCUCUAUGUGUUUUCAUAGAUUGCUAUUAACAUUAUUUUGUUAUUUAAAGCUGGAUGGUUGUUCAUCAAAAGCAACUUGUUUGGAUUUAGAAAAACAAGCAAUAACGUGAUAAUUUAAUGUGAGAAGCUGAAGGAAAUUACUAUAUGUUUCUCUGUAAUAUGGUUAAUUAUAUAGCUUUUUGGCUCAAAGGUUAAUUUCUUUAUAUAUAUAAAUAUUUAGGAGCCAUAUCACCAUAUCAGUCGUCUCACCUUAUCAUCGCUACAACUUCUAUCGUGAGUCGCAUCUUGUCUCUCUCAUUUUUUAGGUUUAUCCUUUUUCUUGUACCCUUUUAGAUUUCUUUUGGGCGAUUUUAUUUUGUUUUCUCUCUUCUUUGAUAUUUUUGUUGAUUAUUACUUUGAUUUGUUAAAUAAUUAA